rnacentral:rRNA from 1 species
UACAGAGGGUGCAAGCGUUGUUCGGAAUUAUUGGGCGUAAAGGGCGCGUAGGCGGUUCGGCAAGUCUCUAGUGAAAUCUCUGGGCUCAACUCAGAGUCUGCUGGGGAAACUGCCGGGCUUGAGUGUGGGAGAGGAGAGUGGAAUUCCCGGUGUAGCGGUGAAAUGCGUAGAUAUCUGGAGGAACACCGGUGGCGAAGGCGGCAUCCUGGACCGGUAUUGACACUGAGGCGCGAAAGCCAGGGGAGCAAACGGG